GCUUUUUUAUAAAAUGACCAUCCAGAAAUUCGAAAUUGGCAAAAUAAUUCUAUCAAAAUUUUAUUUAUAAAACUAACCCUUCUUUCGCCACAUGGGCGCCAUGUCAGGAUUCCUUACAAAGACGGUGAAUCAUUUACCAUCUUUGUAAUAUUUAUUGUGAAGACGGUGAAGGCAGUAAAUCGCGUUUACCGUUUUUAGUGAAGAUUUGCACAUCAGAGUAGGGAUUUGCACUAAAUACGGUAAAUGGUUCAUCGCCUUCAUACAACAAAUAUUAUAAACGAUUCACCGUUUUUUUUAGAAAUUCCUGACGUGGCGAAAUGAGGAUUAGUUUUGCAAAUAAAAUUUUGAUAAGGUUAGUUUGUCAAAUUCGAAUUUCUGGAGGUUCAUUUUAU
rnacentral:lncRNA from 1 species